UACGUAGGUGGCAAGCGUUGUCCGGAUUUAUUGGGCGUAAAGCGCGCGCAGGCGGUCCUUUAAGUCUGAUGUGAAAUCUUGCGGCUCAACCGCAAGCGGUCAUUGGAAACUGGGGGACUUGAGUACAGAAGAGGAAAGCGGAAUUCCACGUGUAGCGGUGAAAUGCGUAGAGAUGUGGAGGAACACCAGAGGCGAAGGCGGCCUACUGGGUCAGUACUGACGCUGAGCCGCGAAAGCCAGGGGAGCGAACGGG
rnacentral:rRNA from 1 species